AGCUUCUUUUUUGCGUGAGAGAGUAAAGGACACUGGCUCAUUUGAGAUCCCUAGACAUGUUAAAAAAUAGUGGAAGAAAAAAGUACAAGAAAACACACUCACGGAACUGCUGAGGUGACGUAACCAGAAAAAUAUGCUUGCAAAUCUGUGUACCAUUUCAGAAAUGAGUCUAAAGGGAUUUCAUCCAUCAAACGGAACAAUAUAAUGACUUUUGAUCUCUACUAAAGUGGUGAGAGAAUGGAAAUAAGAAAAAAAAAGAAGGAAAAAAAGCAGUAGAGAAGAGAGAGAAUGAAGGAAGCUGAGUCUGGAGACUGUCUUUCCUGCUGACGGUGAAUGAAGACUGCAAUAUUCUCUGCUGCAAGUCCAUCUGCUCUUGAACCUCUCUUAAAAAGAUCUAUCUAACAAUAUUCUUCCUUUGGAGUUUCCAGUGCUGCUUAUGAAGACUUGAAAGCAGACUAUUCACAUGCUACAGAUAUGAGAAGUGAAUCAUCAAGGAUCACAGCUGAAAGCUUUGAAGAGGU
rnacentral:lncRNA from 1 species